CGAAGGAUGCAAGCGUUAUCCGGAUUCACUGGGUUUAAAGGGUGUGCAGGUGGGGUAAUAAGUCAGUGGUGAAAGCCCCCGACUCAAUCGGGGAACUGCCAUAGAUACUGUUAUUCUUGAGUGUGGUUGAGGCGGAUGGAAUAUGACAUGUAGCGGUGAAAUGCUUAGAUAUGUCAUAGAACACCGAUCGCGAAGGCAGUCCGCCAAACCAUUACUGACACUGAAACACGAAAGUGCGGGGAUCAAACAGGAUUAGAUACCCUGGUAGUCCGCACCGUAAACGAUGAUCACUCGUUGUUGGCGAUACACUGUCAGCGACUAAGCGAAAGCAUUAAGUGAUCCACCUGGGAAGUACGACCGCAAGGUUG
rnacentral:rRNA from 1 species